rnacentral:rRNA from 1 species
GUCCGAAGGACCCCGCAACCGGUUCGGAAACGGCUUUAAGGGUCCGUGAUGGCAGUUGGCCGGUGGCUCGUCUCGUGCGGGCCGUCGGUUGUUAGCCGUCGGAUCUUGGCUCGUGGCCGGACCGUGGUGACGCGAGGCCCUCUUGGGCUUCUUCGCCUCCUCCGUUCGCGGACGCCGGGAUCCCGUGGCAGGGGUUCGCACUUCUGCGGGCGCACGGACUGACUCCGUGGCCCAGCGGUCGCAUGCGUCCUCGUUGGCUGCGGUGAACCCGUCGGAGGUUGGCGGUUCGCGGGGAGUAGAUCGGUCACCUACCCAACCCGUCUUGAAACACGGACCAAGGAGUCGAACAUGUGUGCGAGUCAAUGGGUCUCGAUUAAGCCCAGAGGCGCAAUGAAAGCAAAGGCAGGACUCGACGCCUGCCGAGUUGGGAUCCUCCUUCCUUCGCGUCGGAGGCGCACCAACGACCCGUCCUGUCCCAUUUAUGGGUUGGGCGGAGUUUGAGCAUACACGUUCGGACCAGAAAGAUGGUGAACUAUGCCCGGGCAGGACGA